UCAGUCGGCCGGACGGCCGCUCCGCGCCAAUGCCGAAAGGCGGCCGGGGAGGAAAGUCCGGGCUCCAUGGACAGACGGUGCCGGAUAACGUCCGGCGGGCGCGAGCCCAGGGACAGUGCCACAGAGAACAGACCGCCGCGGCGCGUAGUGUUCAGCCGAGGCAAGGGUGAAACGGUGCGGUAAGAGCGCACCGCGUUUCCGGCGACGGAAACGGCACGGCAAACCCCACCGGGAGCAAGACCGAAUAGGGACCGCACCGGGGCGCAAGCCUCAAGCCUUGUCCAGGCCGCGGUCCGGGUAGGUUGCUUCAGGCGCCGGGCAACCGGCGUCGCAGAGGAAUGGCCGUCACGCGCGGGGCUCACGCUCCGCGCCCUACAGAACCCGGCUUACAGGCUGGCUGAUACG
rnacentral:RNase_P_RNA from 1 species